AUACGUAGGGAGCGAGCGUUGUCCGGAAUUACUGGGUGUAAAGGGCGUGUAGGCGGGCUGUCAAGUCAGAUGUGAAAUAUCCGGGCUUAACCCGGAGGGUGCAUUUGAAACUGGGGUGCUUGAGUGCAGGAGAGGAAAGUGGAAUUCCUAGUGUAGCGGUGAAAUGCGUAGAUAUUAGGAGGAACACCAGUGGCGAAGGCAGCUUACUGGGCCGUUACUGACGCUGGUGCACGAAAGCGUGGGGAUC
rnacentral:rRNA from 1 species